AGCUGUGUAUAGCACCCUCGGUCUCUUUAAAGAGAUUGGCUUGGGCAGAUCCACGAACAUGAUUCUGUCCUCCAGUUCUUCCACCACUACGACGACCACCACGGCCCCGACUACCACGCCCAGGCUGAUUUGGGCGGCCAUGGAGAUCCCAGCAAAAUGCCUUAGUGUGCCCAGGCUUUUUACAAUGAAAACAUACCUUCUCACCUACUUGCUGUGGCUGUACGGUAAGAGCUGAUCUUAUAGAACUAUUGG
rnacentral:lncRNA from 1 species